CCUACGGGGUGCAGCAGUGAGGAAUAUUGGUCAAUGGCCGGAAGGCUGAACCAGCCAAGCCGCGUGAAGGACGAAGGUGCCAAGCAUUGUAAACUUCUUUUGUCAAGGGACAAAAUCAGGCUCGAGAGCCUGACCGAGGGUACUUGAAGAAAAAGCAUCGGCUAACUCCGUGCCAGCAGCCGCGGUAAUACGGAGGAUGCGAGCGUUAUCCGGAUUUAUUGGGUUUAAAGGGUGCGUAGGCGGACUGUUAAGUCAGCGGUAACAGCCCGGGGCUCAACCCCGGCGAGCCGUUGAAACUGGCGGUCUUGAGAUGUCGAGAGGUAUGCGGAAUGCGCAGUGUAGCGGUGAAAUGCUUAGAUAUUGCGCAGAACUCCGAUUGCGAAGGCAGCAUACCGGCGGCGAUCUGACGCUGAGGUACGAAAGCGUGGGUAUCGAACAGGAUUAGAUACCCGAGUAGUC
rnacentral:rRNA from 1 species